AACAGGAGAUGAACAGUUAGCAUGAAACAAAGAUCUAAUUAUCUCUUUUGUUGACAGUACAAAUGUCAGAGUGCUCGCAAAAACUCGAGUGGCAACGAAGACUCUGAGGAAGGUUUGCGCAACACUGAUUUCAGCACUACUCUGACAGUGUUUGGACUUAAGCCAAGAUCAGCCUUCACCAGAGGAAGCCGUCAGGAGAUCAGCUCUACAGACCCGAGCUUCACGAUGAGAAGGAAGAUGGAGCACUUGAGAGAGGAAAUGGAG
rnacentral:lncRNA from 1 species